rnacentral:rRNA from 1 species
UGCGCAGGCGGCCGGGUGUGUGAGGCGUGAAAGCCUGGAGCUCAACUCCAGAAUUGCACCUCAAACUACACGGCUAGAGCAUUGGAGAGGGUAGCAGAAUUCACGGUGUAGCAGUGAAAUGCGUAGAUAUCGUGAGGAAUACCAGAGGCGAAGGCGGCUACCUGGACAAUUGCUGACGCUCAGGCACGAAAGCGUGGGGAGCAAAAGGGAUUAGAUACCCCUGUAGUCCACGCCCUAAACGGUGCAUACUAGGUCUUGGCGGAUUCGCCCCAUCAGGGCCCAAGCUAACGCGUUAAGUUUGCCGCCUGAGGACUACGGCCGCAAGGCUAAA